GCUUUCGUUGUGUAAUGGUCAGCACACUGAGCCGGUAUUUCAGAGGUCCGCGGUUCGAUUCCCGGCGAAGGCC
rnacentral:tRNA from 1 species